CUGUCCAUCUACAACUACAAAAAAUUUUUCUUUGUGUAUUGCCAUAAUCAGUGACUCUUACAUUCAGUUUUGUCAACCAGCAUAUUUUCAGUAAACAAGAAUAGAUUUAACUUGCUGAAUGUAAAUAUUGAACUUCAAGUCACUGUAAAUUUAGUAACUGCUUAUUGUAUUAGUUCUAGAUGCUAGCACUGCAUGUGCUGUGUUAUUCUGAUUUUACUAAAAUAAAAAAUUGAACACACAAAAAAUUAAAU
rnacentral:lncRNA from 1 species